rnacentral:rRNA from 1 species
GGACCCGCACAAGCGGUGGAACAUGUGGUUUAAUUCGAAGCAACGCGAAAAACCUUACCAGGGCUUGACAUCUAACAAACUUCUGUGAAAGCAGAAGGUGCUCUUCGGAGAAUGUUAAGACAGGUGGUGCACGGUUGUCGUCAGCUCGUGUCGUGAGAUGUUGGGUUAAGUCCCGCAACGAGCGCAACCCUCGUCGUUAGUUGCAUACAGUGGUUUACUGCUGUAGUGCUCUCUAGCGAGACUGCCGGUGAUAAACCGGAGGAAGGUGAGGAUGACGUCAAAUCAUCAUGCCCCUUAUGCUCUGGGCUACACACGUGUUACAAUGGCUGGUACAACGAGUCGCCAACUCGCGAGAGUGAGCAAAUCUCUUAAAACCAGUCUCAGUUCGGAUUGGAGUCUGUAACUCGACUCCAUGAAGUCGGAAUCGCUAGUAAACGCAGAUCAGCACGCUGCGUUGAAUACGUUCCCGGGUCUU